rnacentral:rRNA from 1 species
ACGUAUCCAACCUGCCGUCUACUCUUGGACAGCUCUNAAGAAGAUAAUACAAGAUGGCAUCAUGAGUCCGCAUGUUCACAUGAUUAAAGGUAUUCCGGUAGACGAUGGGGAUGCGUUCCAUUAGAUAGUAGGCGGGGUAACGGCCCACCUAGUCUUCGAUGGAUAGGGGUUCUGAGAGGAAGGUCCCCCACAUUGGAACUGAGACACGGUCCAAACUCCUACGGGAGGCAGCAUG